rnacentral:tRNA from 1 species
GGUGGCUCAGUGGUAGAGCGCUUGCCUUGAAUGCAUGAGGUCCUGGGUUCGAUUCCUCAGUACCA